rnacentral:ncRNA from 1 species
UUUUUUGCUUUGAUAAGGAAUAGUAAUCAGAAAAGUGAUCGAUAGAGAGCUGACGGUUGGUGCAAGUCGGCGGCGCAAUUUUGAUGAACUCACCUUAGAGCUCGCAUUGGUGAACAAUAGUAACUAAUUGCCGUUUUCCGCGUUAAGGAUUCAAGCUGGGCGACUUUGUCGUCAAUUUGGGUGGCACCGCGGGAAAAUGCAUUUCAUGAUCUCGUCCCUAUU